rnacentral:rRNA from 1 species
GACGAACGCUGGCGGCGUGCUUAACACAUGCAAGUCGAACGGAAAGGCCCUGCUUGCCGGGUACUCGAGUGGCGAACGGGUGAGUAACACGUGGGUGAUCUGCCCUUCACUUCGGGAUAAGCCUGGGAAACUGGGUCUAAUACCGGAUAGGAGCCCUUUUUAGAGUGAUGGUUGUAAAGUUUUUUCGGUGUAGGGUUGGCUCGCGGCCUAUCAGCUUGUUGGUGGGGUAAUGGCCUACCAAGGCGGCGACGGGUAGCCGGCCCGAGGGGGGGGACGGCCACAUUGGGACUUGGGUACGGCCCAGACCCCUACGGGAGGCAGCAGGGGGGAAUAUUGCACAAUGGGCGCAAGCCUGAUGCAGCGACGCCGCGGGGGGGAUGACGGCCUUCGGGUUGGAAACUCCCUUCGCUAGGGACGAAGCUUUUUGUGACGGUACCUAGAUAAGAAGCACCGGCUAACUACGUG